GCUCCAAUGGGCCAGUGGUAGAGCGCUUUCGAAAUUUAGCACAAAUCUUUCGCUGUUUUCGAGGCAAAGGUGGGUUCGAUUCCCGCUUGGAGCU